rnacentral:rRNA from 1 species
AUGUCUUUUUUUUUGUUCUCUUCAAAAUCAGUGGAAAAGAGAAGAGAUCAGGAUGUGCUUUCUUUGGAGAACAAAGAAAAUGCUACUCUCCAUUUUGGAUGGAAAGUAGAAAUUUUUCCUAGGUAUACUUUAGGCCAACUAUCAUCUAUCUCACAUGAAAUUAACAAAACCGGAAUAAUCAAACCAAAAAAAAGAGUUAAAUCCGAGCACAUGAAGCUGCAUAUGAAGAUGAAAACCAAACAAAAUGUGACAAAAAACAUACAAUUAAACUUACACGAACCUGAAAAACUCUUGGAGAACACAUCAACUAAGAUAAACAACCAAUCAAUUAGCCAAAUAAUCAACACAAGGCUCUUCAAUGUGCUUUUCUUCAUGUAA